rnacentral:lncRNA from 1 species
CAGUAUUUUGAUUUAUUGUCAUAGUUAUUAGCUAGAUUACAUUAUUUUCAUAUUAAAAAUAAAAUUAACAAAUUACAAUAUCUGUGUGAAAAUAUUGCAAUAAUCAAUUAAAAUAUCAAACCAGCCAAUUGUUUCAAACAUGCAAAAUUUGCGAGUGUAAGGGACAGACCAUUAGAAAAGUGAUGGGCGGGGGGGGUUCUAAGAGGUAAUAUAUAUAUUUUUAUACACCUAUAGAAGUAAUAAUUUUUUUUUCUCACUUGAUGCCUGGAAAUAUUUUUAAGUGCAAUUUAUAUCUUCCAAGCUAGGAAUUUUUUUUUGCACUAUGCCUGGAAAGAUUUUCCCCCUAAUUUUUUUUCUGGAAAUUUUUUUUUUUGGUUUUGCCCCUCCCCCCAAUCACUUUCUAAUGGUCCGUCCCUAACCUCCCCCUACCUCCCCCUGAGAGAACAAGAGAGGUGCUGUGGGCUCCUAUUUUCCAUUUUGAUAUGUGGCAAUGGACCAUAUAAUGCACCAAUUUUUUUAUUUUUUUUUUGGGGGGGGGUGUAUAUUCAUAUAUUCCUGUUUACAUACCGUAAAAACAAUCGAUUUCAAAAGAAAUCCGUUGGGCAGAACACAAAUAUAUGAAUAUGCACCCCCCCCCAAUUAUCGUGCUAGCCACGGCCCUGCCUGUCAAAUGCCUGACAAAUAUACUUGUCUAUGCAAAGGGAGAGCUCUGGCUCUUCAUGGGUUGACUAGUAUAUGCUAAACCUUUGAAAGUGGCAAUGUGCCCCAAUGCACCCCACUUUAUUAUUAUAUUAGAACUGUCUGAUGGCAGACAAUUCUAUUUGUGAAGGGGAGUGCUGGUGCUCAAUAAGUUGAUUUAAAUUAAGUGGAAUAUUAUAUCAAUUGCUUUGAACAAAGGUGAUUCUCUUUUGUGGCAAGAAAUUUAACCAGGGCAUUCUUCUUAAAGUUGUCUACACAUCUCUGGAUUUUUCUUGGCAUCUGGAAAAGUGUAAUAGAAUACAUAUCCAAUCAGGAAUGUACUAUAUUAUCUACAUAAGUUUGUCUACAUGCUGUUGAACAUUAUAUUAUUUUUUCCUUUCAAUUUUCAAAUAUUAAAUGUUAUUUCAGGCAUAGAAGUUAGAGUGCAUGAUUACGCAUCCCUUCCCACCCAUUGACUUCUAUUUCUAUGUACUUGAAGUAUUUCCAUAAAUUCAUAUUUGCCAUAAAUUCAAAUUCAUCAAUUUGCUGGCCAUUUCAUGUAUGAACUAUAAACUUUACUUGUACAACUAGAUAUUAGGCUUUCUACUGUUAGUCAUGAAAGAAGAUUAAAAUUGUCUAUUAAAAUCACAACUCAAGAUUGUAGUGUGAGCCUUGCAAGCUUUUACUCAACACUUAUACUCCUACAGAGACACUUAUUAGGAACAGUUUUGAUCUGUUUUGUGCCCAUUACAACCACUAUUGGCAUCCUAGUCCUGUGACAAUAUAUUAAAAAUUUAAAACCCUAGGACAAGUUGGAACUUGACACCAUUUGUCCAUCAUUUUAAGGCAAUUCUGAUACUAUAUUGUAUGUUAAAAUUGAUGUUGGAUCUUUGGCUAAGGACUCCGAGAGGAAAACAAAAAUAUAACCUGCCCAAAUGGCAAAAUAAAACACAAAGAAAAGUGAUAAAGGCAGAAAAAUACCAGCUGCUGUACAGCGUCGUUUAUAGUUGUUAAUUUCGUAUCCAAUUUUUCUUGAAAACACGGUAUUUAUUUAGUAGAAAUGAAGCACAGAAACAGUUUAAUAUACAUCUUACCUGUAAAAAAGUGUUUCUUCUUGAUAAAGAAUUGUGGCAUCAUGAAGUCAUGCAAAAACUCGGCAUUUUUUCUUGAUGAUUUUUAUAUAUAAAACUUUCAGCAGAGUUUCAGGGUUUUUUCAAAAACCAGGGGGGUGAAAUUGUCGUCAAAAACCGAGGAUCGCGGUUGGCCAGUGGUAAUUACCACGAGGAUGUAGGACCAGUGGCGUCAUUCUGGCGUCAGCAAACGUGAAAAUCCGCCAUGUUUUUGGCUUCACCUUUUGAUGCCGAGCACUUCCUCCAGUUAUAUUAUAGCUCAGUGGUUUUCCAUGUAAAAGGUAAACAACCAUGAAAAACCAAAGAAAAUACCUGUCGAUGUUGAGGAAAUAUGAGGCCAUCUAGCAUUUCCAUCCACCUUUCCCGUCAACGAUGACAUAGAGAUAAGGGCAGCCAAUGGACUAUCAGUUAAAACCGUAAGCAAAUCGCAACAGGACAAAACCAUUAUCAUGAAAUAACAUAAUUUCUUUCGAAGUUGUACAGACCUCCAGAAAGUGAGUAUGCAUGACCAAGGAAUUUAAACAUAUUCCCGAGAAAAAGAAGAAUACAUUCACAGCAAAUAUGAAUAUGAGGUUGAUAAAAUAAUAAGAUUCCAUGCAUCCUCGAGCGACUCUCAAGAAUUAAACAUAAAACUAAAACUGUUGUGUUUAAGUAUGACAGCUGAAUUUCAAGUACUCAAGUGUAUAAAUGACAUAUACAAGUAAACUAUUACAUCAUAAAAUGGUAAUAUGAGGAAGGCCUAUUAUAGCAUGCUUCUGUGUUUAGGUUUUCUCCAGCAGUAAUCCUGAAAUAUAUAAGAGAUGACCCUUGCUGGCAGAGGCGCCGGAAUAUCGAUAAUAGCGGGGGCAGAUAUUCAUAUAUUCGUGUUCACAGACUGUAAAAA